rnacentral:piRNA from 1 species
UUCAUGACGAUCCUCAGUCUGUCUUGGGUGU